AAUAGAUACCCAGGUAGUCCACGCCGUAAACGUUGGGCGCUAGAUGUGGGGACCAUUCCACGGUUUCCGUGUCGCAGCUAACGCAUUAAGCGCCCCGCCUGGGGAGUACGGCCGCAAGGCUAAAACUCAAAGGAAUUGACGGGGGCCCGCACAAGCGGCGGAGCAUGCGGAUUAAUUCGAUGCAACGCGAAGAACCUUACCAAGGCUUGACAUAUACCUGAAAAGGCUGGAAACAGUCUCCCCGCAAGGCACGUACACGGGAAGUUAGGGUGCAUGGUUGUCGUCAGCUCGUGUCGUGAGAUGUUGGGUUAAGUCCCGCAACGAGCGCAACCCUCGUUCUAUGUUGCCAGCGCGUAAUGGCGGGAACUCAUAGGAGACUGCCGGGGUCAACUCGGAGGAAGGUGGGGAUGACGUCAAAUCAUCAUGCCCCUUAUGUCUUGGGCUUCACGCAUGCUACAAUGGCCGGUACAAAGGGCUGCAAUACCGCAAGGUGGAGCGAAUCCCGAAAAAGCCGGUCUCAGUUCGGAUUGAGGUCUGCAACUCG
rnacentral:rRNA from 1 species